rnacentral:rRNA from 1 species
UACGAAGGGGCUAGCGUUGCUCGGAAUUACUGGGCGUAAAGGGCGCGUAGGCGGCUCUGUUAGUCAGGCGUGAAAGUCCUGGGCUCAACCUGGGAACUGCGCUUGAUACGGCAGGGCUAGAGGAUGGAAGAGGGUCGGCGGAAUUCCCAGUGUAGAGGUGGAAAUUCGUAGAUAUUGGGAAGAACACCGGUGGCGAAGGCGGCGACCUGGUCCAUUACUGACGCUGAGGCGCGAAGC